rnacentral:rRNA from 1 species
ACUUGUUCUUUAAUUGAGGACUAGUAUGAACGGCUUCACGAAGACUACACUGUCUCCUUUUUCUAAUCAAUGAAACUAAUCUCCCCGUGAAGAAGCGGGGAUAAACCUAUAAGACGAGAAGACCCUAUGGAGCUUUAAACGAUCGAAAUAUUUGCUACCUCACUUUUCACCUCCUGAGAACUAAAUAUAUUUUCAGCAUCUUAAUUUCUAGUUUUAGGUUGGGGUGACCACGGAGAACAAACUAACCUCCACGCUGAACGAGCCUUUCUCUUAGCAAAAAGUCACAACUUUAUGCAUCAAUACAUUGACUUCCAUUGACCCAAUUUUUGACCAACGAACCAAGUUACCCUAGGGAUAACAGCGCAAUCUACUUCGAGAGUUCUUAUCGACAAGUAGGUUUACG